rnacentral:rRNA from 1 species
CCUACGGGAGGCAGCAGUGGGGAAUAUUGCACAAUGGGCGCAAGCCUGAUGCAGCCAUGCCGCGUGUGUGAAGAAGGCCUUCGGGUUGUAAAGCACUUUCAGCGAGGAGGAAGGUGGUGAACUUAAUACGUUCAUCAAUUGACGUUACUCGCAGAAGAAGCACCGGCUAACACCGUGCCAGCAGCCGCGGUAAU